UCCAAAGGUGGAGCAAGCUCAGCUUGAUCAUUGUCCAACAUCUUCUGCAUGAACUUGAUAUAAUGUUCUCUCAUUUCUGGCUUUUUCUCCAGGGUUCUCCGAAGUAAACAGAGACGCUUUAAAGCUGGCUCCCUGUUGCUUGGAAGGCGUCGUCUAGGAGUCCGGAAUGGUAAAGGAGCCACCCAGCUAUUUUCUUCAUUUUGGUAGACUUCUGCAUCCAUAAUAGCGAGGAAGGCUUUAUCGUCCACCCUAGGUUGUCCGUACUCACAUGGAGAAUUGUGUUCGCCGCACAUGCAGGGAAGGCUGCACUGUGACGCUGCAUCAUACCACCAUAGCCUUCCUUCACGUGGAUACUAUUUGGACACGGUCUAAGGAAGGAUGUGUGGUCAUUGUUCAGUAUGUUUGCCCUGUAAACGUUCGCCUGGUUUUUGAACAGCGCCCAAGCACACAUCUCCCACACUGACCCUGCCUAGGUCUAACCACUGUGCAUAAGGUGCGUUGUGGGGCCCGUUUAUUUGCUCACGUGCCUUGUGUACCCUUAGGAUGUCCCUCCCUAACAGCAGGAGGAUUGGUGCAUCUUGAUCUGCAGGUAGGAUUUUACUAGUAACUGACCGUAGGUGGGGGUGAUAGCGUGCGACCUCUGGGGAGGGGAUUUCCGUCCUAUUGUCUGGCACCAUGUCACACUCUAUUAAAGAGGGCAAGGCAAGCUUUACUUUUCCAUCCAUAGAUUCAAUGAUGAAAUUAACAGCUCUCCGACCUGAAGUCUCCAAUUUUCCAGCACAGGUUUUCAGGGUGUACGGGGCGUAGCUAGUUUCUACAUUAAAAAGACUGAAAAACUCUGUCUUGGCGAGAGACUUAUUACUUUGUUCGUCUAGCACCGCAUACAUUUUGUUUUUUCCUUUCUCCCUUCAGGGUAAGCUUUCACCAAGCAGAUCUUGGAACAAGACCGUGCACUGUCUGCAUUUCCACAAAUCUCUGUACAUUUGGAAGUGACUGAAGAAGCUCCAUCUUGCAACCAUCACCGCACCGGAAAGUGUUACUGCGUCCUUUCUGCACGGCUGCGCCUCGUUAUCCAAUCCCAAGCGUCCUGCACGACACCAGGUACCUUGACACAGGGUCAUCUUGCAACCAUCAGCGGCCGGAGGGUACUACCGCUUCCUUCGGCUUCUAAAGAGCACGGCUGCGCCUCGUUAUCCAAUCACAGCAUCUACAAUCCACCAGGUGCAGGCUCAUCAGU